AAUGGCUCUCUAGUUGGAGGAAGGACAGUGGACAUAUUGGGAAAUCAAAGUGCUAGAAUGCCAGAAGCAAGCAAUAAAAAUUAAAAGAAAAAUCCCAAAACCACAGGGUUAAGCAGAACAAGUCUGGUCCUUCCUUUCACAUGGCAGAUCUCCAAAAACUUGAAAACCCCAAUCACUCUUCCAAGGGCAAAGUGGAUGUCUAAGAGAAGUAAAAACUUGGGGUACAAAGAUAAUCACUGAGGAUCCUAAGCAAAGAUGGCCUAGGUUAAUGGAGGAACUCAGCCCUGAAGGCCAAUGAGAACAAAGGCUUGGUUAUUUUGCAAUAUGAACAUAUAUUAAAUGUAUUAUAGCCAG